rnacentral:lncRNA from 1 species
UCAUAGCUGGGCCUCUAUACUUUGAGCAGCAGCAGUCAUUCAUCACCGAUCACCAGCACAGCCGCGCAUCCACCGUUGCUAGCAAGGUCGACCAAGCAGCACCGAGAUGGCUGCUGCCUUCUCCUCCACCGUCGGUGCCCCGGUGCGUAUGACACACUGAUCGAUCGAUCGAUUGAUUGAUUGAGUCUCUUGCUUAAUGAUGAUAUCACAUCAAUGUCUUCAGCGGCAUCUCAUGUGUGUAUGUGUAACGUAUACAGGCUUCUACGCCGACCAACUUCCUUGGGAAGAAGCUCAAGAAGCAGGUGACCUCGGCCGUGAACUACCAUGGCAAGAGCUCCAAGGCCAACAGGUUCACAGUCAUGGCAGCGGAAAACCUCGACGAGAAGAGGAACACGGACAAGUGGAAGGGUCUUGCGUACGAUAUCUCCGACGACCAGCAGGACAUCACCAGAGGGAAGGGCAUCGUGGACUCGCUCUUCCAGGCGCCCACGGGCGACGGCACCCACGAGGCCGUCCUCAGCUCCUACGAGUACGUCAGCCAGGGACUCAAGAAGUACGACUUCGACAACACCAUGGGAGGCUUCUACAUCGCUCCUGCUUUCAUGGACAAGCUUGUUGUCCAUCUCUCCAAGAACUUCAUGACCCUGCCCAACAUCAAGGUACGUACGACGUGCAUCAUCACCUACUAUUUAAUUUAACUGGCUAGAUUAGCAGCAAGAAAAUCAUUCUGAUUCUGAAACUGACCUGGAAUCGAAAUUCAGAUCCCACUCAUCUUGGGUAUCUGGGGAGGCAAGGGUCAAGGAAAAUCAUUCCAGUGCGAG